CACUACGGGUGGCUGCAGUAACGAAUCUUCCGCAAUGCACGCAAGUGUGACGGAGCGACGCCGCGUGGAGGUUAAGUCCUUCGGGAUGUAAACUCCUGUCAGGGGUUACCAAGAUCUGAGGAGCCCCAGAGGAAGGCACGGCUAACUCUGUGCCAGCAGCCGCGGUAAUACAGAGGUGCCAAGCGUUAGGCGGAAUCACUGGGCUUAAAGCGCGUGUAGGUGGAUGGGUAAGUACCUUGUGAAAUCCCACGGCUCAACCGUGGAACUGCUGGGUAUACUGCCUGUCUUGAGGCACUCAGGGGCAGCUGGAACAAAUGGUGGAGCGGUGAAAUGCGUAGAUAUCAUUUGGAACGCCAAAGGCGAAAGCAGGCUGCUGGGAGUGAUCUGACACUGAGACGCGAAAGCCAGGGGAGCAAACGGGAUUAGAUACCCCGGUAGUCCUGGCCCUAAACGAUGUCCACUAGAUGGUGGCGGCUCUGACGCCGUCAUGGUCGAAGCAAAAGUGUUA
rnacentral:rRNA from 1 species